rnacentral:rRNA from 1 species
GGGCCUACGGGAGGCAGCAGCAAGGAAUAUUGUCCAAUGGGGGAAACCCUGAGACAGCAACGCCGCGUGAAGGAAGAGGGCCUUCGGGUUGUAAACUCCUGUUUUAAGAGAAGAAACAAAUGACGGUACCUUAAGAGGAAGCCCCGGCAAACUACGUG